rfam:Dorea sp. 42_8 Ley3_66761_scaffold_3121, whole genome shotgun sequence.
GAGUCUGUAGCUCAGCUGGAUAGAGCAACGGCCUUCUAAGCCGUAGGUCGAGGGUUCGAAUCCCCCCAGGCUCG